ACAUCGGUAACUUGUUAGGUCAAA
rnacentral:miRNA from 2 species